UCGGGGAAUAUAGUCACAAUAGGGGGAAACCCUGAUGCAGCAACGCCGCGUGAGCGAUGAAGGCCUUCGGGUUGUAAAGCUCUGUCUUCUCGGACGAAAAAGGCCGGUCCCGAAGGAGAAAGCCCCGGCUAACUCCUUGCCGCCACCGCCGUAAUUAUAAA
rnacentral:rRNA from 1 species